rnacentral:rRNA from 1 species
GACGGAGGGCGCAAGCGAUGUUCGGAGUCACUGGGCGUAAAGGGCGUGUAGGCGGCUUGGCAAGUCGGAUGUGAAAUCCCGAGGCUUAACCUCGGAAGUGCACUGGAAACUGCUUGGCUUGAGUCCCGGAGAGGGUGGCGGAAUUCCCAGUGUAGGGGUGAAAUCCGUAGAUAUCGGGAGGAACACCAGAGGCGAAGGCGGACACCUGGGCGGUGACUGACGCUGAGACGCGAAAGCGUGGGGAGCAAACAGG